CAGAGAUCAAAUGCAUGUAGUCUUGUUCCACAACCCACACUUGUGAUUACAAUAUUUUGUGGCUUUUAUUUAAUAAAAAUCUUUUACUUCACAAGCUGAAGAACUAGGGAAGCUAUUUAAGACUAUCAUGAUUGUAGUGGAUAUAUGGAGAAGCAGUCAGAACUGGGAACCAGGACUACAGCUCUCAGAUCUCCGUCCUGCCAGUGGUGUGAGGGUCUCAGAAAAAAAUUGAAAUCUUGAUGAUCUGUAGAGAUAUUCACCACAAUAUUAUUUACAAAUGAAAACAAUUUAGCCAGCAAAAGACAGGGUAAGUAAAUCGUGAUAUAGCCAUCUUAUGGGACAUAAAGUGUUCCUAAAGUUUGAAUAAUCGUGUAACAAAGAAAGA
rnacentral:lncRNA from 1 species